UCGGCCUCCCCAAAGCGCUGGGACUACAGGCGUGAGCCACCACACCUGGCCAGAAUGUGAUAUAUCUAAAGGAGUUAUUUAUCUAGUUUAUAAAAUCUUGGAAAGAAACAAUCUAUCUUCUGGAGGAGACUCUGAGGUCUGAGCAUAUAAAAUUGUACAGGCUGUGAAGUUACUGCCCUAUGACAUAUAAGAGAGCAUCAUUAUUAGAUUAUGGGUUAGAGGUCCCGAGUUCCUAGUUCAGGCUCUGGAACUAAUUUUCUGAUGACUUUUGGAAAGUUCCUACAUAUUUGCUUCAAAAAUCUUUUUCUAGUUACAGAUAAAAGAGUUGGAAAUAUUUAAGAUAGCAAAUAUACUGCUUGAGGGUUGUUACUUUCCGCCAUCUCCACAUUCAUCUAUAUAGAUAGUUAAACCUGACCCUAUUCAUUCAUUCAUUUAUUAAAACUUGACCAAAACCCUCAUUCUUAAACUUUGUAGUUUUCAACACACGUAUGAACAUAAUUGAAUUGUCAUUUAACAUGAAUAUUACUCCCAGAGCAGAUGGUCUCCAAGCCCUCUUCUAUUUUCCUAGUAUUCUGUGAUCUUGCAUGGAUCCUUCUGUGCAAGAAAUUUUGCAUAACCUCUAAAAGGGAUCCCUUUUGCUUCAGUUCUUGACUAUGUGCCUUGGUUGACUGCCUUUUCCUUAAUGCAGGACACACUUUGCUCAUGAGUACAGUUAAUGAACUAUUAGAACAUUAGUGCCCACACAUUCGUGUGCAUCAGCAUCUGGAGAAACACAGAUUUCUGUACCCCACUUCAGUUGUUGAUCCAGGAGGUCUGGAGUGAGACCCUUGAAUUUGCAAUUCCAACAAGUUUCUUGGUGAUUGUGAUGCUGCUGCUCCAAGGAUAACAUUUUCAGAAACAUUUCUGUCUAAAACAUUACUGAACCUAGAGUUAGUAGAUCUCCAAUCAUCUAUGGAUAGAUUUCAGGGAGAGUAUAAAAAAGAAAAAGAUGGUUUAAACAAUUGCAUUUAUAUUUUACUAAACUACUAUGAAUGUAGGCAACAAACCACAGAAAUAUUAGUUGUACCUGACUUUGUCCCAAUAUAAAUAAGACAUAUUUUCAUAUCAUCCUACAAUGGUUUCAGAUAUCUUGAAAUAUGGUUUAUGCACAUCACCACUCUGACAUAAUAUUGGCUAUUUAUCUGUCAUUAGAUUUGAUUAUGAGUUAUUAUAAAGGCCAUUUCUUAUUAUGUCUCAAUAAAACAUGUUAGUAACUUAUUUUAAUAUAAAUUUUUCUUUUUAAUUUUAUGCAUUUUAUUUUUAACACUGAAAAUAGUAUUCUGAAUAGAAUUUAUAGGCUUCAUCAAUUUGUUAGAAGGGUUCAUGGCGGGAGACAUAAACUCUCUUUCUAAAUGAUGAGAAUAAUAAAGAUGUUAAGGCCAAGUCAUGUGCCAUACACCAGGACCUUCGUGGUUAUGCUCACACCAUCAGAAAACCUGGCAGCCACAGAACUGGAGGUGCUGGGUGAUGUCUCUCUCCUGUCGCCUUCCCAUCUGAGCAGAUGAUGCUUAUAGUAAGAUGCCUCUGAUGUUUCUUUAAGUUUGAUUAUCACUCAGAGUAGCAGCUCUCAAAACAUGGUGGCAGUGGCAAGGUCUCUGCAACCUUUUCAUGGAAUCUCAAAAGACAAGAAAGCACCUGGAUCGAUGCUGAGGCCAAGUAAAUAAGAACAGGAGGAUGCCUCUCCCUGAGCCCUGGCAGAAGCAUUAGACUGAUGGAUUGUGGUCCUUGCUUCAGAGAAGGAUGCCCACUCUUUUGUUAGUUGAAAUAUCUGCUUUGUUCAUUAAUCUGACAAGUGAACAUAGGAGACUUGCUUGAAAACACAUCCAUCUCUUCCUGGACUCUGCAAAGAUACUUUCCUUGGCAAGUGAAAAGUCAAAAGCCUACCUGCAGUGACAUUUGCAUCAUGAGUGACAGUAACAGAUGAAAAUUUAAACCUUCCAUGCACCAUUUGGAAGCAUCAGUGGGAAAGUCUCUAUUCAUUAGUUUGAAGCUGGGGGCUUCCAUAGUACUCUGUUUGCCAGCCAAACUGGGAAUGUAGUUAUUUGGCUAUAUUAGGGCUGUCAACCUAAAUAACAGAGAGAGGUUUCCUAAGAGAAAAGAUGUUCAUUUGGGAAUAGAGUAUUAGAAUAGGGAUAUGCAUGCUGUAGUACACUAUGUGCAUAUCCAAGGAGGUAAAGGAAGACAAAAGUUUUUAAAAGAAAUUAAUGAGAAUUAGAUAAUU